rnacentral:pre_miRNA from 1 species
UGAUGAUGAUGACGAUGAUGAUGAUGACGAUGAUGAUGAUGGCUGCUGUUACUGAUGACAACGACGACGACGAUAACGAUGAUGAUCAUGACCAUCAUCAUCAUCAUCAUCAUCAUCAUCAUCACGA